UACGGAGGGUGCAAGCGUUAUCCGGAUUCACUGGGUUUAAAGGGUGCGUAGGCGGGUUGGUAAGUCCGUGGUGAAAUCCCCAAGCUUAACUUGGGAACUGCCGUGGAUACUAUCAAUCUUGAAUAUCGUGGAGGUAAGCGGAAUAUGUCAUGUAGCGGUGAAAUGCUUAGAUAUGACAUAGAACACCAAUUGCGUAGGCAGCUUACUACACGAUCAUUGACGCUGAGGCACGAAAGCGUGGGGGGCAA
rnacentral:rRNA from 1 species